CGUAACAGAAUGACAAAGGUAACGCAUAAAGGUAGGAGAAUAAGGUGAAAGGUCAGAUCUAUAUAGGGGAAUGAUGUCAAUUCAAGGUCAGAUCUAUAUAGGGGAAUGAUGUCAAUUCAAGGUCAGAUCUAUGUAGGGGAAUGAUGUCAAAGGUCAGAUCUGCAUCUGUAAAAAGAAAGGUCAGAUCAGUAGUGGAGGAAUGGUAAAGGUCAGAUCUGUAGUAGGGUAAUGGUAAAGGUCAGAUCUGUAGUAGGGUAAUGGUAAAGGU